rnacentral:rRNA from 1 species
GAGAAUUGGUACUUCGCAUGGACGAAGUCUGACGGAGCACGCCGCGUGAGUGAUGAAGGUUUUCGGAUCGUAAAGCUCUGUUGUUAGGGAAGAACAAGUGCAAGAGUAACUGCUUGCACCUUGACGGUACCUAACCAGAAAGCCACGGCUAACUACGUGCCAGCAGCCGCGGUAAUACGUAGGUGGCAAGCGUUGUCCGGAAUUAUUGGGCGUAAAGGGCUCGCAGGCGGUUUCUUAAGUCUGAUGUGAAAGCCCCCGGCUCAACCGGGGAGGGUCAUUGGAAACUGGGAAACUUGAGUGCAGAAGAGGAGAGUGGAAUUCCACGUGUAGCGGUGAAAUGCGUAGAGAUGUGGAGGAACACCAGUGGCGAAGGCGACUCUCUGGUCUGUAACUGACGCUGAGGAGCGAAAGCGUGGGGAGCGAACAGGAUUAGAUACCCUGGUAGUCCACGCCGUAAACGAUGAGUGCUAAGUGUUAGGGGGUUUCCGCCCCUUAGUGCUGCAGCUAACGCAUUAAGCACUCCGCCUGGGGAGUACGGUCGCAAGACUGAAACUCAAAGGAAUUGACGGGGGCCCGCACAAGCGGUGGAGCAUGUGGUUUAAUUCGAAGCAACGCGAAGAACCUUACCAGGUCUUGACAUCCUCUGACAACCCUAGAGAUAGGGCUUUCCCUUCGGGGACAGAGUGACAGGUGGUGCAUGGUUGUCGUCAGCUCGUGUCGUGAGAUGUUGGGUUAAGUCCCGCAACGAGCGCAACCCUUGAUCUUAGUUGCCAGCAUUCAGUUGGGCACUCUAAGGUGACUGCCGGUGACAAACCGGAGGAAGGUGGGGAUGACGUCAAAUCAUCAUGCCCCUUAUGACCUGGGCUACACACGUGCUACAAUGGACAGAACAAAGGGCUGCGAGACCGCAAGGGUUUAGCCAAUCCCACAAAUCUGUUCUCAGUUCGGAUCG